rnacentral:rRNA from 1 species
AUUUAUUACCGACGCAAACUUUGCUUAUUGGACAGCUGCUAUGGGACUACGAGCGUGUGCUUAAAACUGAAAGAACUUGGCGGCUCGCUAACUACUCCGGGGAAUAUGCGCCUUAAUCCGAUGCUCCGCGUAUCAUCUUACCUUACCUCGAAGGAUGGACAGCUGGUGUAUUGCCGUUGUCAGCUUGUGGUUCGAGCUAUACGAAACAGGCUUAAUGGAAUUAGUCGACUGGUCGACAAACGCCAUGAAUUCAGGUCGAAAUACUGCCGAUGGUAAAGGGGAGUGGGUAUUACAAUUUGGAUUUAGAAUUACGGAUCCUGGGAUUUGUGAAGCGCCAGGUGAAGGUGAACUGGAGAGUAAGGGGAGAUUAACAUGCUUCCCUGAACGUGAAACUGGCUUGUGUACAAACUGCCCGUCGCUCUCGGCUGAAGUUGAGAU